GAGCUCUUGCGGAGAGCUUUUGCUGAAGCCUCAGGUUCCUGAUCCCCUGCGACAUGCUGGGUUGGCUUAAUGGAUGCUCCUCCGGUAAAGACUGAUCCUGAUGGUCAUACAGACUCGAAAACAAACACAAGCAAGAGCUUCGAUUGAGCUCAGCCAGGAGGAACCUGGUAUGUGUCACAAUCAGUGACAAAAAGAAAGCACAAGGACACGUGCAGUCGAGGAUGUUGCGAUGACUGAGCAAAUGGACAGAAAACUGGCGUGGGAGUGUGUGGGCGGAAUCCUGUCCCCCAGACUCGGGUGCUGAAGCCCUAAACCCCAGCCUGGCUCGGCUCUGCUUGGAGAUGGGAUCUCUAAAGAGCUUUUAGGGAUGUAAACCUAAGUUCUCUUGCAUUCCUGCUGCCUGUAGCGAAGGCCAUUUUGUCCCUGCCGGGUGUUUUGUGCCUUUGUCCUGCAUCUGUGAACUGCUUAUCACAAGAAUUCCUGCCCAGGGCCCUUGGUCACAUAGACCAAGAAGUCAAACCCACCAAGGUUGUCACGGCUAAGAUACGGUUAAUGCUGUCUUGCACUUGGGGAUUACUGUCAGCUGGAUUCCAGUUAACCAACAUUUUUUUUGGCCUUGUACUUUACAAGCCUGGAUUGGGUUCUCAAGAGACAAAACUUGAAAAAUGACUUCAACCAAGUGUUUCGCCAUUGGGACAAGAAAUACACCCUCUACAGUACUGGCUGGGCACUUGAAAUGAGGUCACCAGUUUCUGAUUCCAUGUGUCUCCUGAGGCCUUGGACUAACCAAGAGAUCGCCCCCCCAAGAUAUGUGAGGAGCUCAAAGGUGCAAGGGCAAGAGAAUCUUUGAGAUGAAUGCCAUCUAUCCUCAGUUUCAUUCAUACUGUAACUGUUGAAACCACAUGGUUUUGGUAUUUGAAAAGUUGCUGUCAAAAUGUACGACUGGAGUUUGGAGUAACCAAAAUAAAGACCUUCUAUGGUUUGGACAAGAUCCUCCCAGAACCCACGUUGGAGCCUGUGGUGCUGUUGAGUGGGUGGGAUCUUUGAGGUGGGGCCCAGUGAGAGUAAGUUAGGGCACUGGGAAUACACGCUGGAAGGGGACAGUGGGACUGGGCCCUUCCUCUUCCUCUCUCUUGCUUCCCUGAUGCUCCAAGCUAAGAUUCUUCCACUAUCAUGGACUUGGACUCCCACCAUGUCAUGUUGUCUUGCCUUAGGCCCCAGAGCAACGGGGCCAACCAACUAUGGAUG